CAGCGCUGAGGAGCUGUGGUGCAUUGUAGUUGCAUUGCAUGUUGUCUGACGCUGCAAUGGAUCUCCUCUGCAACACAGAACUCAGUC
rnacentral:miRNA from 1 species